ensembl:lncRNA
AGUUUUUGGGUAUCGGGACGAUGGAGGUGGAUUUGAAGCAGGCCGGUACCACAGCGUGGGCCAAGGACAGGUUGAAUAUGUCUGUCAGGACUCCUGCAAGCUCCCCAGAACACGCUCUGAGAACACGCCUGGGGAUGCCAUCAGGAUCUGCAGCCUUGUGGACAUUGAUCCUGCUCAGCACCGCUCCUACAUCGGUGGGGGAGAGAGUCAGAGUUGGUGUUUGACCUUCUUUCCUGUGCAUCGUCGCUGAUUUGAUGAAGGCCCGGAUGGGAUAACCACAGGUUUUAAGAGUUUCUUUUAAAUCGCCGUGUCCUCUGGGUUAAAGAGGGAGACCUUCCAGCAUGUUACCAGCAUUCAGUUCAAAAGGUAGACUGUUAUGAUUUAAUGUUGUCAGUGUUUUGUUUUAUGUCAUGUUUAAGGAUUUGUUCUCGGUUGUAUCUCACGUUUAGUUUAGUUCAGGGUCCAUGUGUCAUUCUGUCUCUCAGUGUCAGGUCUGCGUCUUGGUGUAGUGUUUUCGUUUCCUGUUUUAUUGUGAAGGUCUGCGUCUCAUGUGAGUGUGUUCAGUUUUACCUCUGUCUCAUCUGGUUGAUUAUUCCCAGCUGUGUUCCCC